AUUGAACGCUGGCGGCAUGCUUUACACAUGCAAGUCGAACGGCAGCGGGGAAUUCGGUCCGCCGGCGAGUGGCGAACGGGUGAGUAAUGCAUCGGAACGUGCCUAUCAGUGGGGGAUAACGCUUCGAAAGGAGUGCUAAUACCGCAUAUUUUUUGAGGAGGAAAGCAGGGGACCUUAGGGCCUUGCGCUGAUAGAGCGGCCGAUGUUGGAUUAGCUAGUUGGUGAGGUAAAGGCUCACCAAGGCGACGAUCCGUAGCGGGUUUGAGAGGAUGAUUCGCCACACUGGGAAUGAGACACGGCCCCGACUCCUACGGGAGGCAGCAGUGGGGAAUAUUGGACAAUGGGCGAAAGCCUGAUCCAGCCAUGCCGCGUGUGUGAAGAAGGCCUUUUGGUUGUAGAGCACUUUAAGCGAGGAGGAGGAGCUUCAGGUUAAUACCCUGGAUGCUUGGACG
rnacentral:rRNA from 1 species